rnacentral:rRNA from 1 species
AUUGAAGAGCUUGCUUUUCAUGAGAGUGGCGCACGGGUGCGUAACACGUAUGUAACCUACCUUAAUCUGGGGGAUAGCCUCUCGAAAGAGAGAUUAACACCGCAUAACAUUAUUGAAUAGCAUUAUUUAAUAAUCAAAUAUUUAUAGGAUUAAGAUGGGCAUGCGGAACAUUAGCUAGUUGGUAAGGUAAUGGCUUACCAAGGCUACGAUGUUUAGGGGAUCUGAGAGGAUGACCCCCCACACUGGUACUGAGACACGGACCAGACUCCUACGGGAGGCAGCAGUAAGGAAUAUUGGUCAAUGGGCGCAAGCCUGAACCAGCCAUGCCGCGUGCAGGAAGACGGCCCUACGGGUUGUAAACUGCUUUUGUACCGGAAUAAACUUUGAUACGUGUAUCAAGCUGAAUGUACGGUAAGAAUAAGGAUCGGCUAACUCCGUGCCAGCAGCCGCGGUAAUACGGAGGAUCCAAGCGUUAUCCGGAUUUAUUGGGUUUAAAGGGUGCGUAGGUGGCCUAUUAAGUCAGGGGUGAAAGACGGUAGCUUAACUAUCGCAGUGCCUUUGAUACUGAUGGGCUUGAAUACACUUGAGGUAGGCGGAAUGUGACAAGUAGCGGUGAAAUGCAUAGAUAUGUCACAGAACACCAAUUGCGAAGGCAGCUUACUAAAGUGUUAUUGACACUGAGGC